AGAUUGAACCUAUACCAUUUUUAUAAUAAGAAAAAAAAAUGUACUCCCCAGACAACAAUGGAUGUGAAGCAAUUGCCAGUCUUCAGCCUGUGAGACAAAGGGGGACUAAGAGCAUGUUUACUUGCUUGGAAGGUGCUCAGCUGCUGUUUUAUGACCAGCUUCCCUGGAAAAGCCUGACCAACAGAGUGGUCAUAGGCCCAGCUGAACACCGGUCAACAAAAAUGUCCUGCCCAUGUCUGGUGUUAGGCCAAUGGAAGGAAACCUCCAAAGAGGCUGGUGUGAACAGGACAAGACUGAAGAAAAGAAGAGACAGGAGGCCACUUUAGUAGUCCAGGUGACAGCUACAGUAAUGGAGAUGGGCCAACCAGGUUGGUGCCAGCUAUAUUUAUGUCUUCUCAGAGUCAUAACAUUCCAGACUUAGAAGGACAGAGACGUUUAGUUGGAUACAUGACAGAAAGUCUAUAGCAUAAAAAAUAGACGCAUUUCUAGGCUAUAGCCUACACGUUGAUGACAGCAUUGUUCAUGGACUGGCA
rnacentral:lncRNA from 10 species